UUUUUUGCGGAAUGACACUGAUCCUUCCAUAUAGACGUAUUUACGUCAAAAUUGUUCAUGUGUUAUGAUUUUUGUAUGGUAGGGGUAAAGAGGAAGGUUGAAGAGUAGUUGACUUUCUUGCCGACUGCAAUUCUGUAACGUCGCCGUUGUGUUUAUCAAUAACUCGCUCAAAGGGCGCAGUACAAUACGCACAGCGCUGAUUUGCCAACCGUGCAACGUGAUAAUCUGUGUACAGAGGUCUCUACACAGAGGAAUCAAUCAUUACAUGUGCAAUGAGUUGUCUGGCUACACGAAGUAUAUGUUAUAAUCGUAUUUUAUCAUAUGUGAUGAUAGUAUGUAGGUGAUAAUAAUAACUUUUAUUUGCGGGAAUGGACUAAGUGUCUGUUGGAUACUCGUCUGACAACAUGAAUAGCCUAGGUUUAAGUAUAAUUUUUAAUAUGGGAUGCAUAUGUUCAAGGGAAACCAUUAUGAUUAAUUCGAGAAAGUAUUAUGUCCGUGAACACCUUGGAGAAGGUGGCUUUAGUACAGUGGAUCUGGUGGAAGAUGCUCAUAAUCAUAAGUCUUAUGCUGUUAAAAAGAUUAUCUGCCAUGGGGAAGAGGACCAGAAAGUUGCCAUGAAAGAAGUUGAGUACCAUGGAAUUCUGAAACAUCCUAAUAUUAUUGAAUGUUUUGAUUCAGCAUUGAAGGAUCGACCAAAUCCCAUUCUGAAUUCAACAAGUGAAGUGAUGAUUGUUUUACCAUACUUUGAGAGGGGUACAUUAGCACAUGAGCUGGAACGUCGUCGUGUUCGUAGGGAUCAUAUGAAUGCAUCAGAAAUUUUGAAUAUGUUCCUACAUAUCUGUGAAGGUGUGAAAGCAUUUCAUGAAGCUAACCCAGAGCCAUUAGCCCACAGAGAUCUUAAAACAGCAAAUAUUUUAUUAUCAGAUGAUCGAUCACCAAUCAUCAUGGAUCUGGGUUCUGUAGCAGUGGCCCGGGUCAAGAUCUGUGGCAGUUCUGAAGCUCAGCAGUUGCAGGAUCUUGCAAGUGAACGAUGUUCAAUGCCAUAUCGAGCUCCAGAACUCUUCAGUGUAGAGAGUUAUUGUAUGAUUGAUGAGCGGACUGAUAUUUGGUCUCUUGGCUGUAUUCUGUUUGCAAUGUGUUACUUCAAGUCUCCAUUUGAUGCUGUGUAUGAGCGUGGUGACAGUGUUGCUCUGGCUGUUAUCAGUGGAAAUAUCACAUUUCCAGAGUCCUCUCCAUAUGAUCCAGGAUAUGGGAGGUAGCAGGUGUUGCUGUUCUAAAGUACUGUCCUGACAUUUGCCUGGUGGAACGAGGAAAACCUUAAUAUUCCUCAGUCAGGGUAAUUGGCUCCUGGCCUGACUUGAACCAGGUACUUCUUGAAUGAAAUACAUGAAUUAAUUCUUUAUAUGCUAAAAGUGAAUCCAAUGGAGCGGCCUUACAUUUACAGUGUUAUAGAAAAGACUCAUGAUAUAAUCUCAGAAAUAGAAGGCAAGGCAUAAAAUAAUGGAACUGAUGACAAAAUGGAUGAUAAGCAUUUUUAAAUUUGGAGGAUUGCAUGUUGGUGGUCCAUUUUCCACAAAUAUUUGUUUGGUAGUCUCAAUUUCUAGUUAUAUAUCAUUGUAUAUGGUCAGGUACAAGAUCUCUCCAAGUAACGAAUUUACUACAAUUAUUCAUACAAACAAAUUAAACUUCUCCUGACCUUAAUAUUUCAAUAAUUCAGUGGUGAAAUAUAUCCCUUUAUUUCGGUGGGUAUUUUUAUUUUAAAUUUUUGACGAAAUGGUCAUAACGCAAGACUGAUGUAUUUAAGCAUCUAAACUUUAACAAUGUUUGCCAUUUUUGCCCCAUUUUGUAUCAUUCUGCAAAUUUAUUUAUUUAUUUAUUUUUAGCAUUUGUUACUCAUCGACUAUUCAUAUGGUGGUUCUUCUAUUUAGCAUGUUUAAUGUUUAAUUACUUUAGUGAUGAGCUGGCUUAACUAUGUCAGUGUAGUGACUGGCUUCAUACUGGACAACCAAAGUUUUAUCCCUGACGGGGACAGAGGGUUUUUCUUCUGGCCUCUGCAUCCAGACUGGUACUGGGGCCUACCCAGCCUCCUAUAUAGUGGGUACUGUGGUUCUUUCCCAGGUUUAAAGUGCAGCUGGGGCAUGAUGCUGACCACUCACCCCAUCUAGUGCCAAGGUCAAGAAUGAAUAGGAGCUAUACAACCUCUCCCCCCAUGUGCCUACAUGGUGAAUAGUGGGACAGCUUUACUUUUUACAAACUGAAGCAUUUAAGUCACUUUGAAUUAUCAGUCUGCCAUCCACAGUUUCCAAGUUUCACUAUCAGCACAAUUUUAUAAUGCAUUUAUAUUAGUUCUACUCGUAACACUAGAGCAUAUGAAAACUAGGAACUUUUUGUAUUUGCCACAUGAAAGAUUUAAGUGACCAUGUGUUGUAGAAAGCUCUACAAUUGUACCAAACUUAAUCUUCAAGAAAUUAUGCAGUUCCAUUUUAUUUCCUAAUUAUGACUUUAGUAAUAUACAGGUGUCCCACCUAACUCUAUGACCUCAAGUAUCUAAUGUAUAAUUAAAAUGUUCAUAGUGCCUAAUGGUGUAAACACUAAGGGGUAAAAUAUUAAUCAUGGAGUAAUUGUUAUGAAGUUAUUAAAGUUACCUUUUUUUAAAUGGAACCCUUAUUAUUUUUAAGCCAGAAUUACAGCCGAAUUUGAGAUGUAUUCACAGAACACAUUCAUGUUUCUUGAGCCAUUACUGUGAUGUCACCGCUCAAAAGAAUGGGAGAGAAAUGCAUCAGUAUGUAUUUACACUGAAAAUAGUAUUGUUCCUACAAAAUUUACAGUAAUAACUGUUUAAAGUGCUAACCAUUGGCAUCAGUACACUUUCAGACGCGUUGAAUUAAGGGGUAAUUCACAGAUUGCCAAGUUUGAAGUGAUAAAAUAGCACAUGCUGCAGUAGUGCAUUGUUGCAUCCCUUCUACUGUGGUUGGCGGUUCUUGAUUAAUUUUAUAAUGUGGUGUUCCCCUAAGAAAGAAAAGUAGCAAGGUUAUAUCCAGUGAAUGUGGUGGCCAUGAAUACUUCAUGGACAGUUUCCUGAUCUUCGGAUUGAAUGCCAUGGACCUGUGAGGUGGCUGUUCAGUGCACCUUGUAGGUGUGGGCUAUAUUGUUGGUUGUUUUGGUGAUCCUUAAUAUCUUACAUGGAAUAGAUCUAUGUUACUAGCUAAUAAAUGGUAAGUUUUCAUCAGUAAUAUUCUAUAAGAUUUGGUUAUGCAUUUAAAAUAAUUGCAGGAAAUUGUCAUUUUGUAGUCCAUACUAAAUUGUUUUAAAUACAAAAUGCAUUGUAGGUCAACAAAGGAUACCAAACACAUGAUUAAUUAGUCUUUUUAAAUGUUCCUGGAGAAGCCAUACCUGCUAGCAGAGAUCAUUUACUUUUAGCACAACCACUGUCCAUAGAUACUUGCAGAACACACUUGAAACCAAUUUGUUCCCAUCUCAUCUUCAGAAAAUGUGGCACUGUGGAAUGGACAACAUUAGAUGGUAGUGAAUAGGUGUUCAAUUUUAAAAGGUUAGAUAUUUUUUUGGGGAUGAGUUUUGUUACCUUCCUAUAUUGUAAUUGUCUCCCAGGUCCAAUUUCAUAUUUGUAGUUCCUUUAGAUUUCUGUUCAUAUUCAGGGCAUCAUACUAGGUUGGUGUGUCAACAUAUUCUCAUAAUCAGAUAUAUUUAGUUGAACAAAAUAAAAUAGGAUGUGUCAUGUCAGAAAGCAUAAUGUAGAUGCUCUACAGAGCUACAGUUACAUCUGGGUGUAUGGACAUAAGAAUUUAGUUUCUUUGAAUCAGCUAUUUUGUUGAUAUGCCCUUCUGCUUUGAUGUUCCAUUUCCAUCUCUGAACAAAGAACAAAGAUGCUGUCAGUUUCUGAUUGGUGUAACUGAUUUUCCUAGGGUUCCUUGUUUCGCUUUAAGCUAGUAAACUUGUCAGUUUUAGACUUUUAAUGGAUAUACAUAUUUGAUAUUUGUUGAUUGUCUACAGUUAUUUCAAGUAUGUAUUAAUAGAAGUGAUAGCCAUGAUUAAAAUAUGACCGUAUGAGUGAUUCUAGUAUAUCAGAGGUUUUCCUUAUAUAUUUUCUUGCUUCUUACAUUAUUUCUUAGACAAAAAUAAUAUUUUAUAUCAUAUUUGUAGAAUACUUUUUUAAUGCAGUUGUUAAUUGAGUUCCUUGUCACCAUGGUAUGACAUGUCCUCAGGUGGACAGUGGAAAAUGUUUCCAAUUGUGGAGAGCAGCUGUGAACAUAUUGAAUAAACAGUCAUGGAUAGCUGACCAGGGGUGGCCCACCAGCAUAAGUGUUGAGUGGGGGCUAACAUCAUCCCACCAUAAAGAAGUGGCAUGUUACAGAACAUUACACAGUUAAUUAUUAAUGAUCCUGAAAACUGCUGGUAUCUCAGAUGAUAGCCACAGCCUGGUAGAUAUAUAUCUGUACUGAACUUGACAAACCAGGCUUGGUCAAAAACUAAGAAGACUGAAUCUAUGAAAACUAAGGUACUGUACCCACUGAGUGGAGUGGCUUGUGUUUAGAAAGGUGACUGGCUGUGAAAAUAACUUUUAUGCUGAAGCAAUAAUAUUUUAAAUGGUCAACUUACUGAAUGCAGUUUCAAAUAAAUAAAUGGAGUAUUUAAAAUGAA